ACAUCUUUCAACCCUCCAGAAGUUUAUUCGUUUGAUACAAAUAGUUUACGAAUCUGUGCUGGUUUCUGGACUCAUCACAUCAAUUGUACUCCUCCGAACUCAAAUCAAAGAGUUUAACAUUGCUGAACAUGCUCCUCCAUUCAUCAAGCUGUUCCACAUUGUGGAACAUGUUCUGGACAUCUUUCUGGUUAUCGUGAUCUGUUUCGUUGAACAGUUCAUGAGAGUUAGCUUUAAAGAACUUUGGGAUCAGCUGGACGAUCUGCUGCAAAUGUUCGGACACGUGUCAGCCACAAUUUUGAAUCAACGAAAGUUGUUUGCGAUCACUGCUGUGUUAUCAAAUAUGGCUGACAACUCGUGGUUGUUUGGAGUGUUUUGGAUGCUGUGCAAAACAUCCGAGUCGUUCCGUUACUAGUUACCGUACACGUACCGCUGACUUUAACUAUCGUGUUUGUUCAUCUAUACUGCUUGGUUGUAACUACUAUAGCAAGAAUGAUCCAAGAAAUCAACUUACAAUUAGAGGAUUAUGUAAAGUGUAUAAACGUACCAUUCAUCCAACAGAAGCCACCACACUCUGAGAUAUCACGUUUAAGAGAGAUCCACCUACAACUUGUUGACAUGUUGGAGCAGUUGAAUGACGCUACUGGAGUUAUCAUAAUUUCAAUUCUGAGCUCGACCUUUGCCAACAUGAACAGUAACAGCUUGUUUUUGUACACCAAGAUCAAGGAUGACGAAAGACCACCCGGAUUUACUCGCUCCAUAGUUGAAAUAUUGUUGCUGAUGCUGCUGAGGAUUUUAAAAGUUCUAACGGUGAUUAUACCAAAUAGUUUAGUAAAAAUAGAGAAUCACAAGACCGCUAAAAUAUUGUGCAAAUUUAAAGACUCCGAGAAUAUUAAGUUUAACCUGGUGGUUAUCAAAUAUUUACAGGAAUUAAACGAGCUUAAAGAUGUUUACUCGGCAUGUGGAUUGAUUCAGUUGGAUUUGCCGCUGUUUGUAACGAUGACAAGCGCUUUGGCAACUUAUAUGAUCAUUCUGAUACAGUUCAAUGACAGUUCAUCUGCAGCAGAAAAAUCGGUACCAAUUGAAACAAAUCAGGUUGAAAUAUGAUUCGGUUAUUGGUUAAUAGGUGGUCGUUGCAGAAGUAUUGAGUUAAAUUUUUCACUUUUUUUAAAUUCAGAUGUGCAAUUUAUUCUGAUAUUAUACAACAAGGUUUAUACAUUCAUGAUGU